GACGAACGCUGGCGGCGUGCUUAACACAUGCAAGUCGAACGAAGAGCGAUGGAAGCUUGCUUCUAUCAAUCUUAGUGGCGAACGGGUGAGUAACGCGUAAUCAACCUGCCCUUCAGAGGGGGACAACAGUUGGAAACGACUGCUAAUACCGCAUACGAUCUAAUCUCGGCAUCGAGGAUAGAUGAAAGGUGGCCUCUACAUGUAAGCUAUCACUGAAGGAGGGGAUUGCGUCUGAUUAGCUAGUUGGAGGGGUAACGGCCCACCAGGGCGAUGAUCAGUAGCCGGUCUGAGAGGAUGAACGGCCACAUUGGGACUGAGACACGGCCCAGACUCCUACGGGAGGCAGCAGUGGGGAAUCUUCCGCAAUGGACGAAAGUCUGACGGAGCAACGCCGCGUGAGUGAUGACGGCCUUCGGGUUGUAAAGCUCUGUUAAUCGGGACGAAAGGCCUUCUUGCGAAUAUUGAGAAGGAUUGGG
rnacentral:rRNA from 1 species